rnacentral:rRNA from 1 species
CCCUUAGAUGUUCUGGGCUGCACGCGCGCUACACUGAUGCACUCAACGAGUUUACGACCUUGCCCGAUAGGGUUGGGUAAUCUUUUUAAAAUGCAUCGUGAUGGGGAUAGAUUAUUGCAAUUAUUAAUCUUCAACGAGGAAUUCCUAGUAAGCGCGAGUCAUCAGCUCGUGCUGAUUACGUCGCUGCCCUUUGUACACACCGCCCGUCGCUCCUACCGAUUGAGUGCUCAGGUGAAUAAUUCGGACUGCAGCAAUGUUUGGAUCCCGAACGUUGCAGCGGAAAGUUUAGUGAACCUUAUCACUUAGAGGAAGGAGAAGUCGUAACA